GCGCUCGUGGCCUAACGGUUAUUGCGCGUGCCUUCUGCGCAGGAAGCCAGGGUUCGAUUCCCUGCCGCG
rnacentral:tRNA from 1 species